rnacentral:rRNA from 1 species
UACGUAGGGGGCAAGCGUUGUCCGGAUUUAUUGGGCGUAAAGAGCGUGUAGGCGGUCAUGUAGGUCCGUUGUGAAAACUCGAGGCUCAACCUCGAGACGCCGAUGGAAACCAUGUGGCUAGAGUCCGGAAGAGGAGAGUGGAAUUCCUGGUGUAGCGGUGAAAUGCGCAGAUAUCAGGAAGAACACCCGUGGCGAAGGCGGCUCUCUAGUACGGUACUGACGCUGAGACGCGAAAGCGUGGGGAGCGAACAGG